rfam:Flavobacterium micromati strain DSM 17659 genome assembly, contig: Ga0131131_122
CGGCGGGGCUCACCUCUUCCCAUCCCGAACAGAGUAGUUAAGCCCGCCUGCGCAGAUGGUACUGCAGUUAUGUGGGAGAGUAUGUCGUCGCCUUUU